UUAUCAGACUUGUUACAAGGUUGUUCCAGCAAGUCUGAUACAGUCAUGAUAAAACAAGAAUGUUACAAGGUUGAUUACACAAGGUUGUAACAAUAUUGUUAUAUCAUGACUGUAUCAAACUUGUUGGAACAACCUUGCAACAAGUCUGAUAA